rnacentral:rRNA from 1 species
AUUGAACGCUGGCGGCAGGCCUAACACAUGCAAGUCGAGCGGAUGAAGGGAGCCUGCUCCUGGAUUCAGCGGCGGACGGGUGAGUAAUGCCUAGGAAUCUGCCUGGUAGUGGGGGAUAACGUCCGGAAACGGGCGCUAAUACCGCAUACGUCCUGAGGGAGAAAGUGGGGGAUCUUCGGACCUCACGCUAUCAGAUGAGCCUAGGUCGGAUUAGCUAGUUGGUGGGGUAAAGGCCUACCAAGGCGACGAUCCGUAACUGGUCUGAGAGGAUGAUCAGUCACACUGGAACUGAGACACGGUCCAGACUCCUACGGGAGGUAGCAGUGGGGAAUAUUGGACAAUGGGCGAAAGCCUGAUCCAGCCAUGCCGCGUGUGUGAAGAAGGUCUUCGGAUUGUAAAGCACUUUAAGUUGGGAGGAAGGGCAGUAAGUUAAUAUCUUGCUGUUUUGACGUUACCAACAGAAUAAGCACCGGCUAACUUCGUG